UACAGAGGGGGCAAGCGUUGUUCGGAAUUACUGGGCGUAAAGCGCGCGUAGGCGGUUUUGUAAGCCAGAUGUGAAAGCCCCGGGCUCAACCUGGGAAUGGCAUUUGGGACUGCAAGGCUCGAGUGCGGCAGAGGAGACUGGAAUUCCUGGUGUAGCAGUGAAAUGCGUAGAUAUCAGGAGGAACACCGAUGGCGAAGGCAGGUCUCUGGGCUGACACUGACGCUCAUGCACGAAAGCGUGGGGAGCGAACAGG
rnacentral:rRNA from 1 species